AGAGUGUUAAUAACGUUACUAAUGUUCAGUUACACUUUACUAGGUCACAUCUGUGACACACGUCACUUAAAUAAAGAAGGAAAUAUUGGCUCUGUUUUAUCUGCUGGGCCCAAAAGUGACUCCCCGUAUUUAAACUGCUAUGAAUAACUUGUUGGUCUAUAAUAUGUGAAACAUGUGUCAAAUGUCUCCAUAAUGAAAGAUAUCAGGUCAUCUUGAGCCACAAAAACAUUCCUAUCAUGAGGUAGAAGCUGGAAUCAGUUUGUUGCAACAAGGAAGUGUUGGCUCACCAGUGAUCCCAGCAGAGCCACUGGUUUGGCUCCAGUUGUUCUAGAUUCAAUGAUGUUGUUGCUACAGAUACAUGUUAGCAUCUUUAUUGUAGUAAAGUCUUGUAAUGUGAAGCUAGAAACAAGGCAGGAAACAGCUCCAUGAUCUGAUCUUAAUGAUGUUGUUUUUAUUUCUGUCUUUCAGAACUGGAUUGAAACUAUCAAAGGUCUAAAAACAGCCUCAACCCUCCCAAAGACAAACUUUACACACGUCAUCUUUCAGCUACAAUCUUUGUUGCAGGGAUCUUCUGCCAAACAAGGCUGAGAGAAGAUUUCUUACAGCUGUCAUGUUGAUGCUGUUUCAAUCUUUGGGCAAACACACUCAUAUAUUAGGGCUGAUAUCAGGGCUGCACAAGUUCUUUGUGAUCAUGAAUAAUAGAAGUGUGCCUGUUGAAGAUCAUGUUUGCUACAUGAUUAUAUGUCCUGUUAUUGUUCUGUAUUAUAUUCAGCUUUCAGCAUCCUUUCCCAGCCCCUGUUACACCAUCCAUACAAAGCCAAUCUGACUGUGAGUCAAUGUGUUUGAUAGUUUGUGUUGGAUCAAUAGAUUUGACAGACUUGGUUCUCAUCCAGAGGGAAACAGUCCAAAUUCAGAUCUAAUGAAAUGAUGGAGGCUGUUUCCUACCACGGUGCUAAUGUGUGACUAACAAGGCUCAUGGUCUCCAGCAGACAAGCGCCUGGAAUGAGGCCCAGUGAAAGAUAUGAAGCAGAAAUGGUGUCAUUAGGAGAAGAAGAGAAGAACAAGUCCGGCGAGGAGGCAGCAGCUCUUAAAGAUGAAACACAGCAACUUAGCCCUGAGCUCAGAGAGCUUCACAUGAAAAAGCUCCUCAAGCAGAUCAUGUCAGAGGUGUCCAGUCCUGAGACACUGGGGGUGGAAACAGCUGUGAUGUCAUUGGACUGUCACAAAGACAGAAGUGCAUGAAGUGAGCAGCCAAGGAGCCGCUGAUGUUUUGGAUUCAACAGCAUUUGAAAGGAAGCUUCUUAACUGCCUCUGCUGCCAAACAAGCAGCUGAUGUCCUUGAGAAGAAGCUGAAGAAGUCUUCAACAACAAAUACAGGAAGUGGACUUUCAAAUACUAGAUUCACUUUAGACUCACACAAGAAAUGACUCAACUAGCUGUGUUUGAUUGACUCCUUUGACUCUAUGAAAGCUCAGUGUGUGUCUGUACACAGACUGUUGUGUUGGACUAUUAUUCAGUUGUCUGCUUUUCAAAUGUCUGCAUCUCAGUGUAGAUGAGGCUGGGGGUCAUGGGAGGCCACCAUAGCAGUCUCUUCAACAUCAUGACAUCAUCAUAAAUGCUGCUGGACUGUCUGAUGGGCUGACGGUGAAAAAGCCGUCGGGAAGGAAACAGAAGACAUUUCAGAGGCUGCAGGCAGAUUUCUUUGAUUUGGGGCCUUUUUCAGCUUUAUUGGACAGAGCAGUGAAGAUAAGUGACAGCAAAGCAGAGGGAGAGAGAAAGGGGGCGUGGUCAGAAUCAAAGCCAGGCCAGCUGCUCUCCACCUCGUGGCACAUGGUCACCUGCUCAUCCUAGUGAGCUCCACCAGCAGCCCUUUCACACAGUUUACACUGUCAAACACUGUGUGUGGACCUCAGCUAACAAUAGGCUACAUUUAAGUCUGGACUACAUGCUUUUAUAUUGAGGCAGAUUUUUACCUGUUUUUAUUCCAUCAGCAGCUCAACAUCAUGAGCAGCUUUGACAUAAAGACAUCAAACUCAAGCUGACUUUAAACUGGAUCUACUUUCAAUACAGGGGCUCAAAAACAACUCACAUCUUUAUUAUAUAUCAGGACAGAAAGUCAUCUCAAAUGGAAAACAGCUUUAUUUGGAAUAAUCAGCACUAUCAACUGGUUUGGGAUCUCCACCAGUUUCAUGUCUUUACAGCUUCUCCAACAAAGUUCCUGUAAAAUCAGCAUCUUUAUUGGUUUGAUAGUGAUUGAUUAUUCAGUCCCAAUCUGCUGUCAUCUAAAGAACAAAAUGAUGUUUC
ensembl:lncRNA